UGGGGGGAAUCUGCGCGAGAGAAAUCAAAAGCUGCGAUUCAGAUACUUGCCCACCCACGUUCACAGCAGCACUGUCCACAAUGGACAAAGGGUGGAAUCAAAAAUUCAUCAACACACGAAUGCGUACACACAAUGCUUCCAUCCAAACGCUGGAAUAUUACUCGGCCUUAAAGAGGAAGGACAGCCUUGCUGGAAAUGGCAUAUAACUAAAUGUGAUUUAUUCCCAGAGGAAUUAACGUUGAAACAAAACGGUAUUUUGCCAAGAAGCCCGCAUGUCAGAACGUGUACCAGGGGGUCCCUCCGGCCGGGAGUUGGGGGGGAGACUAAGAAAGAGCUGGCUGUGCGGCACUAAAGAAAAAUGCAGAAAAAGUUUUGAACCAGCCAAUAAAAUUAAGACAAAUGUGGAAGAAAGCCUAGUAGGGAUAUAACUUGCUUAGGCAACGACGGGGAAGGACUGAGCCCUGCAGGACUCAGCCAAUGAGGAGGCAGGGGCGGGACCCGGCGCCCGGGAAGGAGCCGCUGGUUGGCACGUCCGGGGCGCGCGCGCUCCCAGGCCCCGCCCACCUCCGGGCCGCUGGGAGGGCCUCGCUCCGCCCUCUUCUCUGUCCCGGUGUUCACCUACUGAGCUCGGGCCGUCUCGGGGCUCGUUUGGGACACUCUGGCCCGUGCGCGGGGGGCCGAGCGCAGUGGGAGGACGCGUCCCGCCCGACCUGCGCGCGCCACCCGAGCGCGGACGGGACUGGAGUGCAGGGACCGCCUGACCCGCGCGCGCGCGGAGGACACGCAGGCGCCGCGGCAGCAGGGCCACCUCGUACGCCGGCCAAGGUUGGAAGGACGCCUCGCCCAGACUCCCUCACUUGAGUUCUUCGCUCACUGAUUCCACCCCGGAAACCUGAUGCUGAUAAAGUCCUGGAAAGAAGAUUGGCUUCAGUCCAACUGGGAGGGUCCCUGCUGAGGGCUCCUGACCACCGAGACUGCUGAAAAAGGGUGGACUCACUACACCCGAGUAAAACGGCUGGUAAACAAACAAAAAGGGGUCAAAGAUCAGUGGUAAAUAACAUAAAUCCCCAGAAGAACCUUUAGGAGUGACCCUAAGAAGAAAGGCAAGUAGCGAGAUGGGCUGGCCUCUUGUUUGGCGGGUGGUGUGGGUGGUGUGGGCCAUCGCACAUACCACUAUGGCGGCUAGCAGCUGGCAAGCCCUAACCUCAAUAUACACAGCCUUCAACUCAUGGGGAUUUCCAAUUAAACUAGUAGUUAUUGUGACAAAAUCUUCAACACCCCAAACCAUUCGAUUUGAUGCGUGCCAGGUUUUGCCCUGCAGGAACUUAGAAAAUCAAAGCAACUUUCACAGGCAGACAAAUACCUCUGCCCUGAACCAAGUCCAAGCCAGGGCGCCUAUGCAGCCUGUCCUUGCCGAAGCUGGAACGACAUGUGGUGGACUACCGAAUCCCAGGGACUGCCAACCUAAGGUGGGGAUCUCAGAACUUAAGACCCUUAAAAGCCAAAAUACAUUUGUCCAAAGGCAUUCCUCCUGAGAAUUGCCAGGACAAACACUGUAACCCCCUCUUGAUAACUAUAAAUAAACCUCAAGACUUAGACUCAGA